rnacentral:pre_miRNA from 1 species
UGUUAAAAAUUAUAUAUAUUUGUAUUGUUAAAAACUAAUGUAAUUUACAGAAUAAUCAGGUAGUAACAUGUGGCAUGCCGCUUAUACCUCAUGUUGAUAUACAUGGAUUAAUUUUUAACAGUAGAAAUAGGUAAAUUUUUUAAUA